rnacentral:rRNA from 1 species
UACGUAGGGGGCAAGCGUUGUCCGGAUUUAUUGGGCGUAAAGAGCGUGUAGGCGGUUCGGUAUGUCCGUUGUGAAAACUCGAGGCUCAACCUCGAGACGCCGAUGGAAACCCCCGAACUAGAGUCCGGAAGAGGAGAGUGGAAUUCCCGGUGUAGCGGUGAAAUGCGCAGAUAUCGGGAAGAACACCCGUGGCUAAGGCGGCUCUCUAGUACGGUACUGACGCUGAGACGCGAAAGCGUGGGGAGCGAACAGG